UAGAGCAGUACGGUCAACUAAAACUUAAAGAACUUGGCGGUUUUCUAGAUCUCCUUGGAGGAGCUUGUCAUCGAAUUGAUAACCCACAAGACACCUCACCAACUCAAGACUUAUCAGCUUGUAUACCAUCGUCGUCAGCUCACAUCAAAAGAGAGUAAGCCAAAUGGAAAAUACCCACAACGUCAGAUCAAGGUGCAGCUAAUGAGCUGGGGAUAGAUGAGCUACUUUAUUCACAAAACAGAGGAAGUAACCA
rnacentral:rRNA from 1 species